GGAAGCCUUGAGGACGACCUCAGGCGUAACACAGGGACAAUCAACCUCAAGCAUGUUCUCCUCCAACACAAAAUGCUGGCGCCAGAAAGAGAUGAUGUUAGCCUUGACGCGGCAGCCGGGAGGGCCGUAGUCGUAGAGUCCAGCGACGCCGCCGUAGAUCUUGAAGGCGGGGAUGUAGAAGAGCCGUCGCUCGAGGGUGUUGACGACUGCCUGGCGGAAGGACUCGCGGCUGACGGAGCCGUCGCCGUUACUGGCGACGGCGGCUUGGAGCUGCUUGGCGGAAGCGGCGGCAUCGAGCUUGAGGGCUUUGAGAGAAUCGACAGCGGCGUCGAUCUCGGGUUUGGUAACGCCGGGACGGGACUUGAGGGCGCGGACGGCGGCGGCCUGGACGUCGACAGCGGCGUGGGCGUCGGCAAGGGACUUGCGGAGGGAGUCUUCGGAUGGGGCGGCCAUCGGGAGGGGGAGGGAUGCGAGCCGGCGGCGGAGGAGUGGGAGUGGAUUGGAG
rnacentral:misc_RNA from 1 species